rnacentral:tRNA from 1 species
GGGUCGUUAGCUAAGUUGGUAGAGCAGUUGACUUUUAAUCAAUUGGUCGCAGGUUCGAAUCCUGCACGACCCACCA